GCUUGCUUUGGCAACCCAUGUACUGAAGCUGGAAUGAGACAGAGAAGAUUAGCUUGGCCCCUGCGCAACAAUAACAUGCAAAUCCAUGAAACAUUCCAUAUUUUA